GUGAUCGCCUCAUCAUCCUCGUUCUCCCAUAAAGGGCCAGACAGUGCCACUACUCGACGCUGGAUCACAAUUGACAUAUAGUAAGUAUUGUUGACCAGUCAGUUUAGUUCUCAGUUUUUGCCUUGUACUUACCUUCUGUUCUCGUCCUUCCAGUACAGGAGUCCUGUUUGCUCUCCUGUACCAUGGUCUCCCCGUUCAAGCUGGAGCCCCGCAUUCCUUCCCUACCUCGCUUCUGUGCACCGACAGGAUCCCUGACCUCCCUCCAUUCCACAGCGGCACCUGUCCAGCUGCACCGGCCACCUUUCCACCACUGCCCACCUCACCUCUCCAAUCUCUACCUGUUGCUCAGCCUCAUGCCUGCUGCAGAAAAGGCCUUCCACACUGUUUAAGUGUUUGUGUCGCUCUGUAGCCCAGCAGUCUGUACACUUGGAGUCUCUGGAGAUGCAAGCUCACGCUGAAUCACUGUGCCUGCUCAGCAGGGAGCUAGGAGAGAGUACAAUAACCAAAUCCCAGGAGUUGGAAUAUCAGGCCUGUAGCACACAGCACUUUGUUUACACAUCACAUGGGCUAUCUGCUGAGUGCACGUCUGCUAGGGUUGGUGUUUGCCCUUACAGCAAACAUGCAUGUCAUGCUGAGUGGAAACAUAGCAACAAGUCUUAUUAUUGUCUUUAAUAUUAUGAAUUAAUGCCUCUGUAGUAUGGUUAUACAGAGAACAUUUCUUCCUAUGCUGUAAUUUUCCACUUUGGUUUUAUACUUUGCUAAGUGCCAGGCCUCUGGACAUGACUGGUUGAAAGGAAUCCCCUCUUGGAUAAUUAGUUGUGGGUUAAUAAGUUGAAAUCAAGAAAGUGCUGUAAUGCAAAAUCUAUUUUUUUUAAUAUAUUUUUUACAAAGACAGAAUAUUUCUUUAAUAAGUUUGACUAUUAACAAUUCAAAUAUAUGCUUUGAUAUUACCAAUAGCCCCUAAAAUGACUUUUCAUAAUGAAGUUGUUUUCAUAUCUUUAAUUGUGGUUUGUAAGUCAGUCAUGGCCGUCAACAACCACUGCAGUUAGAUACCUUGCAAAUGUUAACUGAUUACAGCUCAUUCGUCCUCCUGUUAGCCUUGUUAUAGCUGUUAGCGUGGAACAAUGGGUCUUUUCCACUUUUUAAUCACUUUUUAAUUUUGACUUGUCAUUGUAGGAAAAGCACAGGUUGACUUUCAUUAAGUAUCGCAGGAAGUCAGCGAGAUUGCACAACAGACAACAAUGAUCCUGGAAUUACAUGUUAACCAAAUGUAACAUGUACAUUCUUAACAUUUAGUACUUUAUGUCAAUGAUUUUUCUGCAAUCGAAAGGCAAAAAAUGUACUUUUCCUGCUGUGACAAGUCAAAAAUGUGCUGUGAAGCAGGUGUUAUGAAUAAAAUUAAAGGACUCUUCACAUUUAUUUUAAUCCAAAGUAUUUCCCUUAAAUCUGCCCUGUAGGCCAUGCUGACUUUGCACUCUGCACCUACAGAGUGUAAAGGGGGGGG
ensembl:lncRNA